UAUUUAGAAACAAGAAAAAUAAGAAGAGAAUAAACAUGGGGGCAUCAAAUCAGUUCCCAUAUAAUGACACAGAAAGUGAAAUAAGCAUGAAUUGAUCUCUAAGACAAAAGUGGAGGUUGAAGCUGACUACAAGGCUGCAUCGUUUGCCCUAGAUGUUAUGGAGAGGAGACAAAUGCAAUCUGAAACACUCUCUGCCGUGUUUGACACAUAUUUUCUUGAUUAAUUACUAUGAUUGCUUAUUAUGGUAGGUUGUCUCUGUGAUGCUUAGUUCUUUGAUCUCAUAAUCCUGUGUUUAUGGCUUGCCAUGGUAUUUACUCUCUCUUAUUUUCGUUCAAUUUUGUGUUUCAACGGAAAUCAAUUGGGUAUUUAGGGUUCUUGUUCAACAGAUUUUUUGCUACAUUUCUUGAGGGAAAUAGAAAUUUUUUGUAUUUGUUCUCGAUUAAUUACUAUGAUUACUUAUUAUGGUUGAGACCAGAACUCUUGAGGAAGUUAAAGAAGUAUUACAUUAUGCUUUCCAAACAAACACUUCUUUGACCUGAAUAAUGUUAGAUAAUAUGGUUUUAUCUCUACCUAAUGGGGAUGUGGAUAUAUCAAUGCUGAAAGAAGCUGUGCAGUUAGUCAAUGAAAAAUUUGAGAUUGAGGUAUUCAUGACUAAAUUUGUUUUUCGUUCAAUCGUGCCAUAUUUAUUGAAUUAUUUUUCAACUAAAUGGUUUAGAAUAUUUGCUGCUGAUUUGAUAUUGUAUAUUUCAAUGGUUUACUUGUUCUUUUUGACAAACUAGCAUAUCUUCUCAAUCUUUUAAUCUUUUAAAGAGGUGGAUGGAAAAUUGUCAAGCAGAGUGUAAUGUCCGCAAAGUUUUAGGUAAAAUGUUCUACGUGUUAUUUAACAAUUCCUUUAUUCGUGCUCUUGGAUCAAACAUGAAGCUAAUUAUUAAUACUCUCUUUUUUCUUUCAUUUCAUUUUGACUUGACAUAAUAUGAUACUACUAAUGUUGCUUGCAAUUUUCAUUAGUUCAUCAUCUAAGAAGCUCAUGUCGUUCUUCUAUUCAGUAUCAUAGAGUGACACGGGAUGUGAAAGUUUGGUAAAAAAUGCCUUUAUGAAUUGUUUAAUUGUGCAAGCUGCUACUAUUGAUAUUCAUGUUUUCUAAUUUGGGCAUUUGUGUUUAUUUCUUGAACUGGGUUACUACAUCAUUCAAUUAUUGGAUACAUUGAACUAAAUUUUUACUAAUUCAGUGUAUACUUUUCACUUUGGCUUUUUCCCUUUUUCAUGUUUUUAUUUCAUGGGUGGGGGUAAUUUGUCGAUAUAUUUCCAUGGUAUUUAUUAAAAUAUGUUUUUUUAAAUGCUUUUUAUGGGGUUUAGCUUUUUUAGAUCUAGUGUGUGGAUUAUGGUAGGUGUGUAGUUCUGCUUGACUGCUUCUGAUUUUGACAGUAAUUUUUUUUUUAUCUUAUGGGAUUUGUGUAACUUGAUUUUGCAGGGUUAGAUUUUGUUUUAUUUAUUUAUUUUUUGAUGUCUUUAUCGUGUACUUAAUUUCUCUCUCUCUCUAAAUUCAUAUUGGCUAUGAUGAUUCAAUGUUAUAUCUGUAUUAGGGCUUGACCCAUUUUUUAUCAAAAUCUAAAAGUGUUAUUAUAAUUAAAAACACUAGCAAAUCCGAUAUAUAACUUUCAAGGUAUAAUGAAACAUAUGUGUCUGUUUAUCUUUGUACCCAUCUUCCAAUCUUCAAUAUUUUGUGUUUCUUUUUAUGUGUGAUUUAUAUCCUCUGGAGCUGUAGAUUCUUCGGAUACUUUUGGCUUGAGAUGCACAUUUGAUUUUCUUAGGUUGUUUUACACGAUAUGGCCAUUUCUAUAUGCUCUCUUCGAAAUAUACAUUGUGAAUUUUAGUUUUUAUCUCAUUUAUUUUUUGAUAACUAUGUUUGUGUUCGUGGAUUAGUUGUUUGUAUUUAGGGUAUUGUCAAUCCUAUCAGUGCAAAUAAAGAAAGAAAAUUAAAAAAAAGCAAACUUUAACUUCGAGAGAUUGUUGUGAUUUGGAAUUUGUAGAUUAUUGCACCUAAUUCUUUGUUCAUCUUUCUUUGCUUUUAACAUUUUGUUUGACUUUCUAUUAAGUUGGUAUUUCUUUUGUCUUUAUUUUCACUGUUGUUUUUUUUAUUUUAAUUAGUUAUUUUAUAUUUUGUUUUUUUUCCUUUUUUAUGGUUGUCUCUUCCUAUUUUAUGUGUUUCUUUAUCUACUCUUAUUUUCUUUUCAGUUAUUGCUUAAAUGAACUUAUAUGUGUGUCUUCAAGUUUUUCUUAAGGUUUGUUUUGGUAAGAAAUAUGCAAUCAUAGGAAGAUAAAAAAAAAGCAUUGAAACUUGUGUUUGUGUGUUGGUUAUGCAAAGAAACGUAAAAUCCUUUUUGAUUGAAUAGUUGAUUUACGGGAAAAAAGUUAAAUCUAAAUGAAUACUUGAUUUUUUAAUUUUUACUGAUAAAAAUAGAAACUUAAUUUUCCCAUAUUCUGAUAGUUUUGUUUUAUCAUUACUAAAAAAUUUAUUAUAUAUUCCUCCUUCUUUGGCUUAGAAUGAGCAUAUUCAAAUCAUAUGAUAUAAUAUAUUAUUAGUUAUUUAAAUUUUUUUAUUUUGGAUGAAACAAUUACAACUUGGUUAGUUGGUGGUAACAAAGUUUAGGAAAAAAGACACACUGUUAAAGUGAAAUUGAAGAUGGUUCAGAAUGAAAGAAUUGUAAAAUUUUAUAUAUGCUUCUAAUCCCUAUCUAAAUCAAUGAAUCUUGAUAUUGGUUGUCAUUUAUUGAUUUUAGAAGUGUUUAUGAAUUUUGAUAUUGGUACUUUUCUUUAUGAAGGGAGUGAGUGAUUGAUUGAUUGAUAAAAUAUCAAGAAAUUUUAGUCAAAUAAAGUAGGCGAGUCAAUUUCUGCAUGCGAAUCAAGAAGAGUAGGUGUGAUGUACUUAGGUAACUUGUGGCUGACUCCUCUCUCUCUUUGGUUUUUGAACUAUAAUCAUAUAUUUUUCCUCUUUUUGAAUUACAUUAUCAUUGGAGUGUUAACAUUAUUAAUUUUAGUCCAUAUAAUAAUACUAUUAGUAUGCAUAAUAGACUAUGGUUUAAAACAAUACCAUUUCCUGUUGGUAAAUCUUCUUUCUUUAUUUCCUUCUAUGUGGAUUGAAUUUUUUGUAUUCAGAAAGAUAGUAUUAAUUUUUUAAUAGAAAAUAAGUUUUUUUUUUUUAUGUAAAAAUUGGACAAAACUAGAUACUUUGUGAUGUGUUCAAAAUAACUUAUUAUCAUAAGCUUUUAGAACCACUUUUAAGGAAAUUACUUUUUUUUCUUGAAGCAAUUUUUAAGUUUUAACACAAACAUGUAAUUGCAGAUUUUAGAUAUUAAGGAUUAGGGUUUAAUGUUUGGAGUAGUUUAAUGCAAAAGGUGUGUGUUUGGGUUAAUUUGUUUGUACUUAGUCAGAAGCUUCUUGAGGCAGUUGUCAAAGAAAAAAAAUUGUGUAUUUGUUUCUUAAAAUUAUGUUAAGCAGACUUGCUCUAUAUGAAAGCAGGUACUGUGACAACAACAUUUGAAGUACAUUUUGAAACGAGCAACUAUAACAUUUGAAGUUAUUUAGUUAUGUGAAUAUUCUAACUCUGAAAAAUUUUUAAUGCUUUCAUCCUUAAUCUGUAUUGCUAUUACAUGAAGUUGAUCAGUUUGAAAGAUAAAUUUAUAUUAAAGAAAAAACUAAAUAUACUGUUAAUAAUUAUCUUUAAUUUUAAAAACCUAUAUAUGUCCAAAGUUAUCUUCUAUGUUUUUUAUGUGACAUUUUUAUAAACAUUAGUGAUGCAGAAGUUUAAAUACCCUACAAAGUAUAUUCUAUCACAUCAUCUAUAUUUUUCAGAGUGGAUCUUCAUUCCAAUUGUGAUAUCAAAUGAUCAACGAAGGAGUUAGAAGGUAUUUUCUGGCUGAAAUUGAGGGACUUGAGCAAAAAUCAGAUUCAGAGGUUG